rnacentral:rRNA from 1 species
UGCUUGUCUCAAAGAUUAAGCCAUGCAUGUCUAAGUCCAAGCUGUGUUCACACGGCGAGACCGCGGACGGCUCAUUAAAUCAGUCGUGGUCCAAAUGGGCCAGUGCAAAUCCUACUUGGAUAACUGUGGUAAUUCCAGAGCUAAUACAUGCAACUGAUAUCCCGAAGGCGGUGUUUGGGCUUGCUUGCCUUGCGCUGCGCUGCUCUGACGGAUGCUUUUAUUAGACCAAGCCGCUGAGGACUUGAGGGUUCGCGCUCUCUUGUCUGACUCGUGUGAUGGUGACUCUGGAUAACCAAAUUCUGACAAGCGCACGUACUUCUCUUCUGAGCGAGACGGCGCUGCCACUUUCGAGUGUCUGCCUUAUCAGCUAUCAACCGUUCGUUAUGCGCGACCGAUGGCUUUGACGGGUAACGGGGAAUCAGGGUUCGAUUCCGGAGAGGCAGCCUGAGAGACGGCUACCACGUCCAAGGACGGCAGCAGGCACGCAAAUUACCCAAUCCCAGCAAAUGGGGGAGGUAGUGACGAAAUCUAACGAUGCGGGCGCCCUUUCUGGGGCCCCGCAAUCGGAAUGGGCACUUUCUAAACAACCUGUUGAGAACCUACUG